ensembl:lncRNA
CUCAUUUCUGAGGUUUUUCUAAUUUACAAUUAAAACAUUUUCAGCUUUUUUCCAACUUCUUCUUCUGUGUAACCUUCAGCUUUUAGCAGUUCAGCACUUUUGUUUUCAGGUUAAAUUCGGAUUUUUUUUUAUCUCAUUCAAAAUUUUUAACUCAAAAUUCAGCAAUUAAUUCAUUUCAGUGCAUACAUUCAGAUUCAAGCAUUCACACUGCAGUUUCUUCAGAAAAUGCACUUUCUAGUUAUUAGUGUGAAUGCUUGAAAAGCAUUCACAGUAUUGUUCUUCUAAUCUUUAUUCUAUUUUAUUCUGUAUUCCGUACGUUUUUUGUACUCCUACUCCUUCAAAACCGUUCAACUUAGAAAAACCAUUCAAACACCAUUAGAUUCCUCUUCUUUUGGACAUGACUGCUUCUAUUUUUCUCAUUUUUAACAUUUAUAUUUUUAAUUUUAUUCAACUUUAUUCAACAAAAAUUUCCCAAAAUUUCCCAUGUAUUUCAAUGGGGAGACCCUUCAAAUUCUCAUUCAACUUAUUCAUUUUUAAACUCUUACUACUUCCACAUACAUUGACAUAGAGCCACCAUUCAAACUUUAAAACGAAGACAAGACAUUCAACUAUUCAACUUGUAUUUAUCUUUUCAAUAUCUAUUAUACUUUUUCUUCAGUUCCAGUUUAAGUUUCAUGAUGUUUUUUCACCCGUUUCAGAGUUUAUAAUGGGUGUGUAUGGGACGGAAUGUUGGGGCUAGAGUGAGACAGCUCAACUGCUAGAGUGAGAGGAGCAAAAAAAUUAAUCUUAAAAUCUUUUUUAAAACUGCUGCUGUGUCCGCAGCGUUUGCUCUACAGGUAUGAUUUUACCCUCAAAACGUAGCCAUCGCUGUCCUCUUUCAUCCAAUGUGUUUACUAUUGUCCUAGGUGUUAUGGUUCUUUCAUAAAUGUCACCAAUGCACAGCCUCCUCCCUCCAACUCUUCCAUAGACUCUAAUGUUAAAAUGGCUCAGAAGGUUCGUUUGAAAAUCAGAAGAGCAUGGUGUCUUUACACUGUCACCACGUCCAUAUAAUAAGCUCCACAGGCAUGAAAACUGAGAAUUAGGUAGACUAGACAUGGCUGUCGCUCACGGUGAAAGAAUUUUGUCAGUACGACAUGUACUUUUCAUUUGGGAACGAUUUGUUUCGGCCUGACUUUUCUGUUCAUUUUAAGCAGCAAAAGUGAGGUGCAUGUCUGUGUGCGUGUGUAUGGAGCCAUUGGGUGCGGUCACUAUAGCAACCAGGCUCACACCUGCCUGCUUAACGAGCUCUGCCUGCCACUGUACCAAGAUUCAUCUUAAACACUUCUCUUUCAACUGCUGCUGUGUCCACAGUGUUACAGCCAUCAUUUUACCCUCAAAACGUCGCCAUCGUUGUUCUCUUUCCAACAUCUUGUCUUUCAAAGCUCAGGCAUUUAAACUUUUUAAACUGUGUGGAUCAAAGUGGAGGGAUCACAUUUUAGUCAUUCAGUGAUUCAAAGAAUAUGACCUUUUAAUAUUCAUUCAGAUGUUUUCUGACUCUAAAUGUUCUUUUCUCAUUUCUUAGGGUUUUCUAAUUUACAAUUAAAACAUUUUCAGCUUUUUUCCAACUUCUUCUUCUGUGUAACCUUCAGCUUUUAGCAGUUCAGCACCUUUGUUUUCAG